AGAGGGGGGUAAGAAGAGGGAGAGGGGGGAGGGGGGUAAGAAGAGGGGGAGGGGGGAGUAAGAGGGGUGCCAUAUGCGAUACGCAGGGGAUGUCAAUUAAAAGUUAACGACACCCCCAGUUGAGAUCGCAUAUCGCAGUGCGAUCUGCAAGUUCGCACAGAAUCGGAUCGCACUAGUGUGAACCACUAUGCGAUCCGAUUCUGCUGCGGAUAAAAAAAAAAGGUCAUGUGCGUGUUUAGUGCAGAUGCGGUGCAAAUUCAGCCAUACAAACUGUUUUGGGAAAUGCCUCACUACCUAUGAUUGGCUUCCUGGGGGGCUCAAUCUGAAUACGUCCGAGACCAUCCUUAAUUUUACCAUACCAUACAAACACAUGCUAACAAAGCCAUCCUACAACACACACUACACACAGCCAUCCUACAACACACAGAUAUAACAAGAGUACCGGUAAAUUUACACACCCCUGAU